rnacentral:misc_RNA from 1 species
GAUGAAGAACGCAGUGAAAUGCGAUAAGUAAUGCGAAUUGCAGAAUUCAGUGAAUCAUCGAAUCUUUGAACGCACAUUGCGCCCGCUAGUAUUCUGGCGGGCAUGCCUGUCUGAGCGUCAUUUCAACCCUCGCCCCCGGCUUUUGCUGGGAGCGGUGUUGGGGAUCGGCCGCCCGUCACUGGGAGGCCGGCCCCGAAAUAGAGUGGCGACCACGCCGUGUGCUCCUCUGCGUAGUAGUAAAUCACCUCGCAGGCGGACGGCGGUGCGGCCUGCCGUAAAACCCCCAACUCUUUCUGGUUGACCUCAGAUCAGGUAGGAAUACCCGCUGAACUUAAGCAUAUCAAUAAGCGGAGGA